UAACACGUGAGUACCUGCCCUUAUGUGUGGGAUAGCCUCUCGAAAGAGAGGGUAAUACCGCGUAAUCUCGGGAGAAAUCUUGAGGAUAGCUUUAUUGCGCAUUUGGAGGGGCUCGCGGCCCAUCAGGUUGUUGGUGAGGUAAUGGCUCACCAAGCCUAUUACGGGUAGCUGGUCUGAGAGGAUGAUCAGCCAGACUGGGACUGAGAAACGGCCCAG
rnacentral:rRNA from 1 species